UACGGGGGGGGGUAAGCGUUGUUCGGAAUUACUGGGCGUAAAGGGCUCGUAGGCGGCCAACUAAGUCAUACGUGAAAUCCCUCAGCUUAACUGGGGAACUGCGUGUGAUACUGGAUGGCUUGGAUUUGGGAGAGGGAUGCGGAAUUCCAGGUGUAGCGGUGAAAUGCGUAGAUAUCUGGAGGAACACCGGUGGCGAAGGCGGCAUCCUGGACCAAUAUUGACGCUGAGGAGCGAAAGCCAGGGGAGCAAAGCGGA
rnacentral:rRNA from 1 species